UACAGGCUUAACACAUGCAAGUCGAGGGGCAUCAGGAAGAAAGCUUGCUUUCUUUGCUGGCGACCGGCGCACGGGUGAGUAACACGUAUCCAACCUGCCCUUUACUCGGGGAUAGCCUUUCGAAAGAAAGAUUAAUACCCGAUAGCAUAAUGAUUCCGCAUGGUUUCAUUAUUAAAGGAUUCCGGUAAAGGAUGGGGAUGCGUUCCAUUAGGUUGUUGGCGGGGUAACGGCCCACCAAGCCUUCGAUGGAUAGGGGUUCUGAGAGGAAGGUCCCCCACAUUGGAACUGAGACACGGUCCAAACUCCUACGGGAGGCAGCAGUGAGGAAUAUUGGUCAAUGGACGAGAGUCUGAACCAGCCAAGUAGCGUGAAGGAUGACUGCCCUAUGGGUUGUAAACUUCUUUUAUACGGGAAUAAAGUGAGGCACGUGUGCCUUUUUGUAUGUACCGUAUGAAUAAGGAUCGGCUAACUCCGUGCCAGCAGCCGCGGUAAUACGGAGGAUCCGAGCGUUAUCCGGAUUUAUUGGGUUUAAAGGGAGCGUAGGCGGACGCUUAAGUCAGUUGUGAAAGUUUGCGGCUCAACCGUAAAAUUGCAGUUGAUACUGGGUGUCUUGAGUACAGUAGAGGCAGGCGGAAUUCGUGGUGUAGCGGUGAAAUGCUUAGAUAUCACGAAGAACUCCGAUUGCGAAGGCAGCUUGCUGGACUGUAACUGACGCUGAUGCUCGAAAGUGUGGGUAUCAAACAGGAUUAGAUACCCUGGUAGUCCACACAGUAAACGAUGAAUACUCGCUGUUUGCGAUAUACAGUAAGCGGCCAAGCGAAAGCGUUAAGUAUUCCACCUGGGGAGUACGCCGGCAACGGUGAAACUCAAAGGAAUUGACGGGGGCCCGCACAAGCGGAGGAACAUGUGGUUUAAUUCGAUGAUACGCGAGGAACCUUACCCGGGCUUGAAUUGCAACUGAAUGAUGUGGAGACAUGUCAGCCGCAAGGCAGUUGUGAAGGUGCUGCAUGGUUGUCGUCAGCUCGUGCCGUGAGGUGUCGGCUUAAGUGCCAUAACGAGCGCAACCCUUAUCGAUAGUUACCAUCAGGUUAUGCUGGGGACUCUGUCGAGACUGCCGUCGUAAGAUGUGAGGAAGGUGGGGAUGACGUCAAAUCAGCACGGCCCUUACGUCCGGGGCUACACACGUGUUACAAUGGGGGGUACAGAAGGCAGCUACACGGCGACGUGAUGCUAAUCCCUAAAGCCUCUCUCAGUUCGGAUUGGAGUCUGCAACCCGACUCCAUGAAGCUGGAUUCGCUAGUAAUCGCGCAUCAGCCACGGCGCGGUGAAUACGUUCCCGGGCCUUGUACACACCGCCCGUCAAGCCAUGAAAGCCGGGGGUACCUGAAGUGCGUAACCGCAAGGAGCGCCCUAGGGUAAAACUGGUGAUUGGGGCUAAGUC
rnacentral:rRNA from 1 species